rnacentral:rRNA from 1 species
AGAGUUUGAUCCUGGCUCAGGACGAACGCUGGCGGUAUGCUUAACACAUGCAAGUCGUACGAGAUUUUUAGGUAUUUAUAUUUAAAAAUUGUAGUGGCGGACGGGUGCGUAACGCGUAAGAACUUACCUUUGGGAGUGGGAUAACAGCGGGAAACUGCUGCUAAUACCGCAUAAUGCUGAGAAGCUAAAAAGUGAAAACUGCCGAAAGAGAGGCUUGCGUCUGAUUAGCUAGUUGGUGGGGGUAAUGGCCCCCCAAGGCGACGAUCAGUAGCUGGUUUGAGAGGAUGAUCAGCCACACUGGGACUGAGACACGGCCCAGACUCCUACGGGAGGCAGCAGUGAGGAAUUUUCCACAAUGCCCGAAAGGGUGAUGGAGCAAUACCGCGUGAGUGAUGACGGUUCGUGGAUCGUAAAACUCUUUUCUUGGGGAAGAAGUACUGACGGUACCCAAGGAAUAAGCACCGGCUAACUCUGUGCCAGCAGCCGCGGUAAUACAGGGGGUGCAAGCGUUGUCCGGAAUGAUUGGGCGUAAAGCGUUCGUAGGUGGUUUUUAAAGUCUUCUGUUAAAUCCCAAAGCUCAACUUUGGACAGGCAGUAGAGUACUUAAAGACUCGAGAACGGUAGAAGUAGAGGGAAUUCCCCGUGGAGCGGUGAAAUGCAUAGAUACGGGGAGGAACACCAGAGGCGAAAGCGCUCUACUAGGCCGUGUCUGACACUGAGGGACGACAGCUAGAGGAGUGAAUAGGAUUAGAUACCCUAGUAAUUCUAGCCGUAAACGAUGAACACUAAGUAUCGGUAAACCGGUGCUGUAGCUUACGCAUUAAGUGUUCCGCCUGGGGAGUAUGCUCGCAAGAGUGAAACUCAAAGGAAUUGACGGGAAU